UACCAGCACCCCGAGUGGUCGGGACGAUUAUUGGGCCUAAAGCAUCCGUAGCCGGUCUUGCAAGUCUUCCGUUAAAUCCAGCUGCUUAACAGAUGGGCUGCGGAGGAUACUACAAGGCUAGGAGGCGGGAGAGGCAAGCGGUACUCAGUGGGUAGGGGUAAAAUCCGUUGAUCCAUUGAAGACCACCAGUGGCGAAGGCGGCUUGCCAGAAUGCGCUCGACGGUGAGGGAUGAAAGCUGGGGGAGCAAACCGG
rnacentral:rRNA from 1 species